rnacentral:rRNA from 1 species
AUGUGUGUACCCAAGAACCAAGGAGGAAUGGGUUUUCGGGAUAUCCAUUGUUUCAAUUUGGCUAUGCUUGCUAAACAGGCUUGGCGUCUUCUCGAGAAUCCGGAUUCUCUAUGUGCUACUAUUUUGAGAGUCAAAUACUAUCCUGAUGGUGACUUGUUGAACACUGACCUUAAGAAGGGAUCUUCCUUCACCUGACAAAGUAUUAUGGCGGGUGUG